CUUACUCAUUAAGUUGAAAAAGGGUCUUUUCCCACUUUUCUCUAUCGCUUUCGUUACAAAAAAUGAACCCAAUGAUUGAUCCGGGAACUACUGAAUUUGCGAGUUUCAUGACAGCACAGGCAAGGAACAUUUUCACAUUAUAGUAUUAUCUUUGUUCAUUUUCACAUUUUCCCGAUAUCAGGAAGUUUUGUCUGAAUAUUUUCUAGUAUCGAGAAACAUGUUAAUCAGUUUGUAUGUAUUCAAGAAUCUCGGUGCAACUGGCUGCUGAAUUUGAAUAUGUGAAUUCUUUUUGAGAAAACAGAUCUUGAUGGUGAUGAGGAUUAAUCUUGACUGCAAUGCUUGUUGCAGAAAAAUGAGAAGAAUCCUUCUCAAAAUGAAAGGUGACUUAUGUUAGUGAAUAUUUUCUUCUGAUUGCCAGUUAAUAACUCGAUACUUAUCUAUUCUCUUUUUCAUUGCAUUGUUCGAAGAAAUUGAGACGCACUUGAUAGAGAAGCAAUAUUGCAGGGUAAGCGUCUGUGGAAGGUUCAUUCCAGCAGAUGUAGCGAUAAAAAUAAGGAAGAAGAUGAAGCGUAGGGUCGAGAUUCUGGACAUUCAAGAAUACAGCAAUAUGGAAUGACAUACAGAACAAAUGCAAGUCCAAAUCCCAGGCCAUGUCCUAACACAGCAUGCAUAGAAUUUUCUGAACUUAUAAUUCCAUUAAACAAAAUUGUGCACAUAUUCCAAGACAGAAUGACAGAAAGAGACACUGACUGAUCCAUUAGUUUCCAAAAUAUAGUUGUAAAUACGUAUAAUUAAUAGAUGAUUCCUGAAUUCUCUGUGCAG
rnacentral:lncRNA from 1 species